GACGAACGCUGGCGGCGUGCUUAACACAUGCAAGUCGAGCGGUAAGGCCCUUUCGGGGGUACACGAGCGGCGAACGGGUGAGUAACACGUGGGUGACCUGCCCUCAGCUCUGGGAUAAGCCUGGGAAACCGGGUCUAAUACCGGAUAUGACUCCAUGACGCAUGUUGUGGGGUGGAAAGCCUUGGUGCGGCUGAGGAUGGGCCCGCGGCCUAUCAGCUUGUUGGUGGGGUGANGGCCUACCAAGGCGACGACGGGUAGCCGGCCUGAGAGGGCGACCGGCCAC
rnacentral:rRNA from 1 species